rnacentral:rRNA from 1 species
GUCAGGCGGCGAGUGAUAAAAUCCGUCGUCAAGAGGGAAACAACCCAGACUAACAGCUAAGGUCCCCAAAUCUUACUUAAGUGGAAAACGAUGUGAAGUUACUUAAACAACCAGGAGGUUGGCUUAGAAGCAGCCAUCCUUUAAAGAAAGCGUAAUAGCUCACUGGUCUAGUGAUUUUGCGCGGAAAAUAUAACGGGGCUAAAGUAAGUACCGAAGCUUUAGACUUGCACACAACUUAGAUGAUUUAAAUUUGGAAUAUGAGAAGCUAAAUUUGUUUUUAUUUAUUUUUGCUUAUCUUUAUUCAUUUUUAUAGAGUAAAGAUAAAAACAAAAACUUCGUAAAAAUAAUAAAAUUUAGUAAAAAACAAUAAAAAUAUUCUUAGAUUAAAAGUUAAGUCGUUUAAGUUGUGUGCAAGUGGUAGGAGAGCGUUCUAUUUGCGUCGAAGGCAUACCGACAAGGAGUGCUGGAGCGAAUAGAAGUGAGCAUGCAGGCAUGAGUAGCGAUAAUUAAUGUGAGAAUCAUUAACGCCGUAAACCCAAGGUUUCCUACGCGAUGCUCGUCAUCGUAGGGUUAGUCGGGUCCUAAGCUGAGUCCGAAAGGGGUAAGCGAUGGCAAAUAGGUUAAUAUUCCUAUACCAACAUUAGUGUGCGAUGGAAGGACGCUUAGGGCUAAGGGGGCUAGCGGAUGGAAGUGCUAGUCUAAGGUCGUAGGAGGUUAUACAGGCAAAUCCGUAUAACAAUACUCCGAGAACUGAAAGGCUUUUUGAAGUCUUCGGAUGGAAAGAAGAACCCCUGAUGCCGUCGAGCCAAGAAAAGUUUCUAAGUUUAGCUAAUGUUGCCCGUACCGUAAACCGACACAGGUGGGUGGGAUGAGUAUUCUAAGGCGCGUGGAAGAACUCUCUUUAAGGAACUCUGCAAAAUAGCACCGUAUCUUCGGUAUAAGGUGUGCCUCCCUUUGUAUUAGAAUUCACUUCGAAAGCAAAGAAGGUUACAACAAAGAGUCCCUCCCGACUGUUUACCAAAAACACAGCACUCUGCUAACUCGUAAGAGGAUGUAUAGGGUGUGACGCCUGCCCGGUGCUCGAAGGUUAAUUGAUGGGGUUAGCAUUAGCGAAGCUCUUGAUCGAAGCCCGAGUAAACGGCGGCCGUAACUAUAACGGUCCUAAGGUAGCGAAAUUCCUUGUCGGUUAAAUACCGACCUGCAUGAAUGGCGUAACGAGAUGGGAGCUGUCUCAAAGAGGGAUCCAGUGAAAUUGUAGUGGAGGUGAAAAUUCCUCCUACCCGCGGCAAGACGGAAAGACCCCGUGGACCUUUACUACAGCUUGACACUGCUAUUUGGAUAAGAAUGUGCAGGAUAGGUGGGAGGCUUUGAGUAUAUGACGCCAGUUGUAUAUGAGCCAUUGUUGAGAUACCACUCUUUCUUAUUUGGGUAGCUAACCAGCUUGAGUUAUCCUCAAGUGGGACAAUGUCUGGUGGGUAGUUUGACUGGGGCGGUCGCCUCCCAAAUAAUAACGGAGGCUUACAAAGGUUGGCUCAUAGCGGUUGGAAAUCGCUAGUAGAGUAUAAAGGUAUAAGCCAGCUUAACUGCAAGACAUACAAGUCAAGCAGAGACGAAAGUCGGUCUUAGUGAUCCGGUGGUUCUGUGUGGAAGGGCCAUCGCUCAAAGGAUAAAAGGUACCCCGGGGAUAACAGGCUGAUCUCCCCCAAGAGCUCACAUCGACGGGGAGGUUUGGCACCUCGAUGUCGGCUCAUCGCAUCCUGGGGCUGGAGCAGGUCCCAAGGGUAUGGCUGUUCGCCAUUUAAAGCGGUACGCGAGCUGGGUUCAGAACGUCGUGAGACAGUUCGGUCCCUAUCUGCCGUGGGCGUAAGAAGAUUGAAGAGAUUUGACCCUAGUACGAGAGGACCGGGUUGAACAAACCACUGGUGUAGCUGUUGUUCUGCCAAGAGCAUCGCAGCGUAGCUAAGUUUGGAAAGGAUAAACGCUGAAAGCAUCUAAGCGUGAAGCCAACUCUAAGAUGAAUCUUCUCUAAGCUCUCUAGAAGACUACUAGUUUGAUAGGCUGGGUGUGUAAUGGAUGAAAGUCCUUUAGCUGACCAGUACUAAUAGAGCGUUUGGCUUAUCUUAUAAAUA